GUCUUGAGCAAAGGAGCUGGGAACCGUCCUGAAAGAGAGCGCGUGGGCAGAGAGAGAUCGAGGAGAGAUAAUCCGUCUCCGUCGUUGAUUCAUGCGUGCGCCGGCGUCGAGUUCUUAGGGCCAGGACAGGAAGCUUUGCCACGUCUUCGGUAACGUGUCCGUAGCCUUCACGAGAGGGGAGUACCACCAGGUCACCGAUGAUUUCUCACCGGAGCCACCAAGCCGUCGUCUACCGUGGCUAGCUCGAGCCAUCGUAAUUCGUCACCGAAGCGAGAUGACGAGAAAUCAGAAGACCAACUUGGUAAAUCACUUGGAUAUCACAAGUCUAAGGCAAGUUGUGUCCUUGUCACUAUUUUUACCUAAUAAUGUUCAUGUUAUUCACUGUGAGAUUCUCAGGUUAAUUGGAUGGGACCUAAUAGGUUACCCUAGUUUUGUUUACCCCACACGUUGCAAACAAAUGAACUAUUGGGUAGUUUAGAUAUGAUCUACCUAGUUUUUGGGAAGUAAUGAUAUAUGACAUAUGAUCAUGCUUUUAUCAUUGUUACUGGAUUAUUUAUUGUUCAUGAUAAGAUUAUGGUAUUAAUUGGAACAUGGAGCUUAACUUGAGAUAGCAGUGCUACUACAAGGGGGGAAUGGGACACCCUUGACCAAGUAAUUAGGAAAGCUAGGGAGAGAUUACCUUACCCAAAAGGGUCAAGCGGGGAGUGCGUCGCUGCAGAGUAUACGGAGGUCCUCGGGUCGAACUGUCUGUACAGCUUUUUGGACGAGGGAUUCAUAUGCUUCCUUCUUUCUAACACCGUAGCGGGUUUUCUCGAACUAGUGGAACUUUGGAAAUGCCUCGUAGUGCUACCCUACAUCGCCUCCUCUAUAGAGGUGUAUGGGAUUCAUGACCCCGUGGAAGGUGGGUAUCACGGCUUGUGGGUAAAUAUGUGCAACCUCUAUAGAGUGUAAAACUGGUAUAUCAGUCGUGCUCAUAGUCAAGAGCGACUCAUGACUCUCACGUGAUUAACUUAUGCAUUAAACUUAA